GACCCAAAUUAUUAGAGUGAAAACACUUAAAUUACACAUUGGAAAGCACUGCAAUUAUCUCUCAAAAAAAACAGACAAUGGUGGCUUAAAUUAAAAGAGCUUGAUAAACAAGAUACAUAAAACUCAGGAUGUCAAAGUAAAUACUAAGGUGAACAUAUACCUUGACACAGAGACUGUUCAACCAUUUUUGUUAGCAGUCAUGUCAAAAGCAAUUAGAGAAAUAUGUACCUAAACUGUUGAGAGGUUGUUUGGGGAGAAGAUUAUGGGGAAAUACAUGUUUUGAUAAAGAUUUCAAUGUCUGAAUUUUGAAGAAUAUGCAUUGCCUGUAUGAUUUAAAUAGCUAAAAUCAGAUUUAGCUAUCAGUCACAGAACAGAUAUACAAAUGUGCUUGGCAAGAGAAAGCUAUAUGAACUGACUUCAUAGAGACCUAUCUAAACUGCUAGUAUUUUGAGACCUAGUUAUUAAACAUUAAGUCCAGAAAUAUUAAAAGGGAAUAAGAUAAGCAAAUGAUGAAAUGUAGACAUUUUUCAUUCAAAAAUAUGGAAGCUCUUUUGACUCAAAAAAACCAAAUCUUUAUAACAAAUGAGC
rnacentral:lncRNA from 1 species